rnacentral:rRNA from 1 species
GACGAACGCUGGCGGCGUGCUUAACACGUGCAAGUCGAACGGAAAGGCCCUGCUUUUGUGGGGUGCUCGAGUGGCGAACGGGUGAGUAACACGUGAGUAACCUGCCCUUGACUUUGGGAUAACUUCAGGAAACUGGGGCUAAUACCGGAUAGGAGCUCCUGCUGCAUGGUGGGGGUUGGAAAGUUUCGGCGGUUGGGGAUGGACUCGCGGCUUAUCAGCUUGUUGGUGGGGUAGUGGCUUACCAAGGCUUUGACGGGUAGCCGGCCUGAGAGGGUGACCGGCCACAUUGGGACUGAGAUACGGCCCAGACGCCUACGGGAGGCAGCAGUGGGGAAUAUUGCACAAUGGGCGGAAGCCUGAUGCAGCAACGCCGCGUGCGGGAUGACGGCCUUCGGGUUGUAAACCGCUUUCGCCUGUGACGAAGCGUGAGUGACGGUAAUGGGUAAAGAAGCACCGGCUAACUACGUG